CCCCACUCCCAGCACCCUACCACCUACUCCAGCUCAGGAGGCGGCCUCUCCCAGCGGACUAAGAAUCCCAGGAGUGGUGCAAAGGCUAGAGUGAGGGUAGUUUACUAAGUAAACAGAAGUGCCAGAAGACAAUCGAAGCCUGGGAUUCAUUGUGAGCCUUACGUGACAGAUUGAAGGAAUGAAUCACAGCAUGGAAGGCAAAGGCAACUUGGAUAAGUGAAAGGACGCAGAG